GACGAACGCUGGCGGCGUGCUUAACACAUGCAAGUCGAACGAAGAGCGAUGGAAGCUUGCUUCUAUCAAUCUUAGUGGCGAACGGGUGAGUAACGCGUAAUCAACCUGCCCUUCAGAGGGGGACAACAGUUGGAAACGACUGCUAAUACCGCAUACGAUCUAAUCUCGGCAUCGAGGAUAGAUGAAAGGUGGCCUCUACAUGUAAGCUAUCACUGAAGGAGGGGAUUGCGUCUGAUUAGCUAGUUGGAGGGGUAACGGCCCACCAAGGCGAUGAUCAGUAGCCGGUCUGAGAGGAUGAACGGCCACAUUGGGACUGAGACACGGCCCAGACUCCUACGGGAGGCAGCAGUGGGGAAUCUUCCGCAAUGGACGAAAGUCUGACGGAGCAACGCCGCGUGAGUGAUGACGGCCUUCGGGUUGUAAAGCUCUGUUAAUCGGGACGAAAGGCCUUCUUGCGAAUAGUGAGAAGGAAUGAACGGAACCGGAAUA
rnacentral:rRNA from 1 species